UACGUAGGGUGCAAGCGUUAAUCGGAAUUACUGGGCGUAAAGCGUGCGCAGGCGGUUUUGUAAGUCAGAUGUGAAAUCCCCGGGCUUAACCUGGGAACUGCGUUUGAAACUACAAGGCUAGAGUGUGACAGAGGGGGGUGGAAUUCCACGUGUAGCAGGUGAAAUGCGUAGAGAUGUGGAGGAACACCGAUGGCGAAGGCAGCCCCCUGGGUUAACACUGACGCUCAGGCACGAAAGCGUGGGGAGCAAACAGG
rnacentral:rRNA from 1 species